AGAACGAACGCUGGCGGCAUGCCUAACACAUGCAAGUCGAACGAGAUCUUCGGGUCUAGUGGCGCACGGGUGCGUAACGCGUGGGAAUCUGCCCUUAGGUACGGAAUAACAGUGAGAAAUUACUGCUAAUACCGUAUGAUGUCUUCGGACCAAAGAUUUAUCGCCUAGGGAUGAGCCCGCGUUGGAUUAGCUAGUUGGUGGGGUAAAGGCCUACCAAGGCGACGAUCCAUAGCUGGUCUGAGAGGAUGAUCAGCCACACUGGGACUGAGACACGGCCCAGACUCCUACGGGAGGCAGCAGUGGGGAAUAUUGGACAAUGGGCGAAAGCCUGAUCCAGCAAUGCCGCGUGAGUGAAGAAGGCCUUCGGGUUGUAAAGCUCUUUUACCCGGGAAGAUAAUGACUGUACCGGGAGAAUAAGCCCGGCUAACUCCGCGCCAGCAGCCGC
rnacentral:rRNA from 1 species